GUAGGUGGCAAGCGUUGUCCGGGAAUUAUUGGGGCGUAAAGCGCGCGCAGGCGGUUCGUUUAAGUCUGAUGUGAAAGCCCACGGGCUCAACCGUGGAGGGUCAUUGGAAACUGGAGAACUUGAGUACAGAAGAGGAAAGCGGAAUUCCACGUGUAGCGGUGAAAUGCGUAGAGAUGUGGAGGAACACCAGUGGCGAAGGCGGCUUUCUGGUCUGUAACUGACGCUGAGGCGCGAAAGCGUGGGGAGCAAACAGGAUUAGAUACCCUGGUAGUCCACGCCGUAAACGAUGAGUGCUAAGUGUUAGGGGGUUUCCGCCCCUUAGUGCUGCAGCUAACGCAUUAAGCACUCCGCCUGGGGAGUACGGCCGCAAAGGCUGA
rnacentral:rRNA from 1 species